CAAGUCGAGGGGCAUCGCAGUGUAGCAAUACAUGGGCGGCGACCGGCAAACGGGUGCGUAACACGUACGCAACCUUCCCGUUACUGUGGGAUAGCCCAGGGAAACUUGGAUUAAUACCACAUAUUGCCAUGGAGAGGCAUCUCUUUAUGGCCAAAGAAUUUCGGUAACGGAUGGGCGUGCGGUUGAUUAGAUAGUUGGCGGGGUAACGGCCCACCAAGUCUACGAUCAAUAGCUGAUGUGAGAGCAUGAUCAGCCACACGGGCACUGAGACACGGGCCCGACUCCUACGGGAGGCAGCAGUAAGGAAUAUUGGGCAAUGGACGCAAGUCUGACCCAGCCAUGCCGCGUGGAGGAUGAAGGUCCUCUGGAUUGUAAACUUCUUUUUUCUGGGGCGAAAACCAGCCUUUCUAGGUUGUUUGACAGUACCAGAAGAAUAAGCACCGGCUAACUCCGUGCCAGCAGCCGCGGUAAUACGGAGGGUGCAAGCGUUAUCCGGAUUCACUGGGUUUAAAGGGUGCGUAGGUGGGUUGGUAAGUCAGUGGUGAAAUCCCCGAGCUUAACUUGGGAACUGCCAUUGAUACUAUCAAUCUUGAAUAUUGUGGAGGUAAGCGGAAUAUGUCAUGUAGCGGUGAAAUGCUUAGAUAUGACAUAGAACACCAAUUGCGCAGGCAGCUUGCUACACAAUGAUUGACACUGAGGCACGAAAGCGUGGGGAUCAAACAGGAUUAGAUACCCUGGUAGUCCACGCCCUAAACGAUGGAUACUCGACAUCAGCGAUACACAGUUGGUGUCUGAGCGAAAGCAUUAAGUAUCCCACCUGGGAAGUACGACCGCAAGGUUGAAACUCAAAGGAAUUGGCGG
rnacentral:rRNA from 1 species